rnacentral:rRNA from 1 species
GAGUUUUGAUCCUGGCUCAGGAUGAACGCUAGCUACAGGCUUAACACAUGCAAGUCGAGGGGAAACGACAUCGAAAGCUUGCUUUUUGAUGGGCGUCGACCGGCGCACGGGUGAGUAACGCGUAUCCAACCUGCCCACCACUUGGGGAUAACCUUGCGAAAGUAAGACUAAUACCCAAUGAUAUCUCUAGAAGACAUCUGAAAGAGAUUAAAGUAUUUAUCGGUGAUGGAGUGGGGAUGCGUCUGAUUAGCUUGUUGGCGGGGUAACGGCCCACCAAGGCAACGAUCAGUAGGGGUUCUGAGAGGAAGGUCCCCCACAUUGGAACUGAGACACGGUCCAAACUCCUACGGGAGGCAGCA